rnacentral:rRNA from 1 species
UGGGUAACCUGCCCGGAAGUGGGGAAUACCUCGGGGAAACUCGAGCUAAUACCGCAUGACAUCUUCGGGACGAAAGUCCUGGUGAUCAAAGCGGGGUCGCAAGAUCUCGCGCUACCGGAUGGGCCCGCGCCCGAUUAGCUAGUUGGUGAGGUAACGGCUCACCAAGGCUUCGAUCGGUAACCGGCCUGAGAGGGCGAUCGGUCACACCGGAACUGAGACACGGCCCGGACACCUACGGGAGCAG